GUGCCAGCAGCCGCGGUAAUACGUAGGAGGCGAGCGUUGUCCGGAUUUAUUGGGCGUAAAGAGCGCGUAGGUGGCUUGGCAAGUUGGGUGUGAAAUUCCCUGGCUUAACUGGGGGAGGUCAUCCGAUACUGCCAGGCUUGAGGUCGGUAGAGGAAGGUAGAAUUCCCGGUGUAGUGGUGAAAUGCGUAGAUAUCGGGAGGAAUACCAGUGGCGAAGGCGGCCUUCUGGGCCGAUCCUGACGCUGAGGCGCGAAAGCGUGGGGAGCGAACCGGAUUAGAUACCCGGGUAGUCCACGCAGUAAACGAUGGACACUAGGUGUGGGGGGUAUCGACCCCUCCCGUGCCGGAGCGAACGCAUUAAGUGUCCCGCCUGGGGAGUACGGCCGCAAGGCUAAA
rnacentral:rRNA from 1 species